rnacentral:rRNA from 1 species
GAUGAACGCUAGCGGCAGGCCUAACACAUGCAAGUCGAGGGAGAAGCCCUUCGGGGCAGAAACCGGCGCACGGGUGCGUAACGCGUAUGCAACCUACCUUUCACAGGGGGAUAGCCCGAAGAAAUUUGGAUUAAUACCCCAUAAUAUUAUUGGAUGGCAUCAUUUGAUAAUUAAAAUUACGAUGGUGAAAGAUGGGCAUGCGUCCUAUUAGCUAGUUGGAGUGGUAACGGCACCCCAAGGCUACGAUAGGUAGGGGUCCUGAGAGGGAGAUCCCCCACACUGGUACUGAGACAGGGACCAGACUCCUACGGGAGGCAGCAGUGAGGAAUAUUGGUCAAUGGUCGGAAGACUGAACCAGCCAUGCCGCGUGCAGGAAGAAUGCCUUAUGGGUUGUAAACUGCUUUUAUAUGGGAAGAAUAAGGCGUACGUGUACGUUGAUGACGGUACCAUAUGAAUAAGCU